UUGUUGAGCUACUUANANGGCUGUUUUAGUAAUAUCUUCAUUUAUCAUUGUUAAACC
rfam:Neotoma lepida isolate 417 scaffold_749, whole genome shotgun sequence.